GACGAACGCUGGCGGCGUGCCUAAUACAUGCCAGUCGAACGCUGAAGAGAGGAGCUUGCUCUUCUUGGAUGAGUUGCGAACGGGUGAGUAACGCGUAGGUAACCUGCCUUGUAGCGGGGGAUAACUAUUGGAAACGAUAGCUAAUACCGCAUAACAAUGGAUGACACAUGUCAUUUAUUUGAAAGGGGCAAUUGCUCCACUACAAGAUGGACCUGCGUUGUAUUAGCUAGUAGGUGAGGUAAUGGCUCACCUAGGCGACGAUACAUAGCCGACCUGAGAGGGUGAUCGGCCAAACUGGGACUGAGACACGGCCCAGACUCCUACGGGAGGCAGCAGUAGGGAAUCUUCGGCAAUGGGGGCAACCCUGACCGAGCAACGCCGCGUGAGUGAAGAAGGUUUUCGGAUCGUAAAGCUCUGUUGUAAGUCAAGAACGGGUGUGAGAGUGGAAAGUUCACACUGUGACGGUAGCUUACCAGAAAGGGACGGCUAACUACGUG
rnacentral:rRNA from 1 species